rnacentral:rRNA from 1 species
GAUCAUGGCUCAGAUUGAACGCUGGCGGCAGGCUUAACACAUGCAAGUCGAGCGGAAACGAUGGGAGCUUGCUCCCAGGCGUCGAGCGGCGGACGGGUGAGUAACACUUAGGAAUCUACCUAGUAGUGGGGGAUAGCUCGGGGAAACUCGAAUUAAUACCGCAUACGACCUACGGGAGAAAGGGGGCAGUUUACUGCUCUCGCUAUUAGAUGAGCCUAAGUCGGAUUAGCUAGAUGGUGGGGUAAAGGCCUACCAUGGCGACGAUCUGUAGCUGGUCUGAGAGGAUGAUCAGCCACACCGGGACUGAGACACGGCCCGGACUCCUACGGGAGGCAGCAGUGGGGAAUAUUGGACAAUGGGGGGAACCCUGAUCCAGCCAUGCCGCGUGUGUGAAGAAGGCCUUUUGGUUGUAAAGCACUUUAAGCAGUGAAGAAGACCAUAUGGUUAAUACCCAUAUGCGAUGACAUUAGCUGCAGAAUAAGCACCGGCUAACUCUGUGCCAGCAGCCGCGGUAAUACAGAGGGUGCAAGCGUUAAUCGGAAUUACUGGGCGUAAAGCGAGCGUAGGUGGCUUGAUAAGUCAGAUGUGAAAUCCCCGGGCUUAACCUGGGAACUGCAUCUGAUACUGUUAAGCUAGAGUAGGUGAGAGGGAAGUAGAAUUCCAGGUGUAGCGGUGAAAUGCGUAGAGAUCUGGAGGAAUACCGAUGGCGAAGGCAGCUUCCUGGCAUCAUACUGACACUGAGGCUCGAAAGCGUGGGUAGCAAACAGGAUUAGAUACCCUGGUAGUCCACGCCGUAAACGAUGUCUACUAGUCGUUGGGUCCCUUGAGGACUUAGUGACGCAGCUAACGCAAUAAGUAG